CCUACGGGAGGCAGCAGUGGGGAAUCUUGCACAAUGGAGGAAACUCUGAUGCAGCGAUGCCGCGUGAGUGAAGAAGGCCUUUGGGUUGUAAAGCUCUUUUGUAGGGGAAGAUAAUGACUGUACCCUAAGAAUAAGGUCCGGCUAACUUCGUGCCAGCAGCCGCGGUAAUACGAAGGGACCUAGCGUAGUUCGGAAUUACUGGGCGUAAAGCGCGCGUAGGCCGUUGAGUUAGUUAAUUGUGAAAUCCCAAAGCUUAACUUUGGAACUGCAAUUAAAACUGCUCGACUAGAGUUUGAUAGAGGAAAGCGGAAUACAUAGUGUAGAGGUGAAAUUCGUAGAUAUUAUGUAGAACACCAGUUGCGAAGGCGGCUUUCUGGAUCAACACUGACGCUGAGGCGCGAAAGUAUGGGUAGCAAAGAGGAUUAGAUACCCUCGUAGUCCAUACCAUAAACGAUGAUUGCUAGAUGUUGGAAAUUUAUUUUCAGUAUCGCAGCUAACGCAUUAAGCAAUCCGCCUGGGGAGUACGACCGCAAGGUUAAAACUCAAAUGAAUUGACGGCUGAGAGNGCGAGACGACACGAGGAGAG
rnacentral:rRNA from 1 species